rnacentral:rRNA from 1 species
AAGCAUAUCAAUAAGCGGAGGAAAAGAAACUAACAAGGAUUCCCCUAGUAACUGCGAGUGAAGCGGGAAAAGCUCAAAUUUAAAAUCUGGUGGUCUUUGGCCAUCCGAGUUGUAAUUUAGAGAAGCGUCUUCCGCGCUGGACCGUGCACAAGUCUCCUGGAACGGAGCGUCGUAGAGGGUGAGAAUCCCGUCUUUGGCAUGGACACACCAGGGCUUUUGCGAUGCGCUCUCGAAGAGUCGAGUUGUUUGGGAAUGCAGCUCAAAAUGGGUGGUGAACUCCAUCUAAAGCUAAAUAUUGGCGAGAGACCGAUAGCGAACAAGUACCGUGAGGGAAAGAUGAAAAGCACUUUGGAAAGAGAGUGAAACAGUACGUGAAAUUGUUGAAAGGGAAACGCUUGAAGUCAGUCGCGUCGUCCGAGACUCAGCCUCGCCUCGGCUUGGCGUACUUCUCGGCCCGACGGGUCAGCAUCAAUUUCGCCUCUCGGAUAAUGGCGAGGGAAAAGUGACACCAUUACGGUGUGUUAUAGUCUCUCGUCGCAUGCGAGGGUCGGGAUUGAGGAACUCAGCACGCGCCCUCGGGCGUCGGGGUUUUUGCCCACGAUACGUGCUUAGGAUGUUGGCGUAAUGGCUUUAAACGACCCG